AACGAACGCUGGCGGCAGGCCUAACACAUGCAAGUCGAGCGAGAUCUUCGGGUCUAGCGGCGGACGGGUGAGUAACGCGUGGGAAUAUGCCUCUUGGUACGGAAUAGCCUCGGGAAACUGGGAUUAAUACCGUAUGUGCCCUUUGGGGGAAAGAUUUAUCGCCAAGAGAUUAGCCCGCGUUGGAUUAGGUAGUUGGUGGGGUAAUGGCCUACCAAGCCGACGAUCCAUAGCUGGUUUGAGAGGAUGAUCAGCCACACUGGGACUGAGACACGGCCCAGACUCCUACGGGAGGCAGCAGUGGGGAAUCUUAGACAAUGGGGGCAACCCUGAUCUAGCCAUGCCGCGUGAGUGAUGAAGGCCUUAGGGUUGUAAAGCUCUUUCAGCUGGGAAGAUAAUGACGGUACCAGCAGAAGAAGCCCCGGCUAACUCCGUG
rnacentral:rRNA from 1 species